CACGUAGGGUGCGAGCGUUGUCCGGAAUUAUUGGUCGUAAAGAGCUCGUAGGCGGUGUGUCGCGUCGGCCGUGAAAACCUGCAGCUUAACUGUGGGCUUGCGGUCGAUACGGGCAUCACUGGAGUUCGGCAGGGGAGACUGGAAUUCCUGGUGUAGCGGUGAAAUGCGCAGAUAUCAGGAGGAACACCGGUGGCGAAGGCGGGUCUCUGGGCCGAUACUGACGCUGAGGAGCGAAAGCGUGGGGAGCGAACAGG
rnacentral:rRNA from 1 species